rnacentral:rRNA from 1 species
UACGUAGGGUGCAAGCGUUAAUCGGAAUUACUGGGCGUAAAGCGUGCGCAGGCGGUUAUGUAAGACAGAUGUGAAAUGCCCGGGCUUAACCUGGGAACUGCAUUUGUGACUGCAUGGCUAGAGUUUGGCAGAGGGGGGUGGAAUUCCGCGUGUAGCAGUGAAAUGCGUAGAGAUGCGGAGGAACACCGAUGGCGAAGGCAGCCCCCUGGGCUAACACUGACGCUCAGGCACGAAAGCGUGGGGAGCAAACAGGG